CAGGUGUUGCCCAGGCUGACUUUGAACUCAUGAUGUCCUGCAUUAGCUUCCCACAAUGCUGGGAUUACAGGUAUAUAUCGACAUGUCAGGCAAAUGUUUCCCUCUACUAUAGAAGAAAAAUAAUAUUUCCUAGAAUAUUUGGGAACACAGUUGAGAGUGAGAAUGAAGAUUUGAAUUAUUCAACUGAGAAGCUAGGCACUGUGGUGAACAUCUGCUCGCAAGAUAUCCAGGAGGCCGAAGCAAGAGGAUUGGAAGUUUGAGGCCAAUCUGAGCCACUCAGGAAGGCCUUGUUUCCAAAUGAAAUACAAAGGCCUGGAAAAGUAGCUUAGUGGCAGACUUUUGCCUAGCAUGCGUGAGGUUCUAGUUUCAAUCCCCAAUGCAGAAAAACUAUUAAAUCAGCCAUGAUCUCAGUGCUGAGAGGGACGAUGGGCUUCACGCCCAUAGGUUCCAUAUCUAUGGAUGAGUUUUUUACAGUAGGAACCCCAAGGGCAGGGAUGAAGGCUGUGGUCUCUGUGUGGUCUCGAGGUUGCAUGUACUUGGAUCCUGGGGUCCCAAGGUGAUGCCACUGGAGGUGGCAGAGCCUUCAAGAGUUGUGGCCUAGUGAGGGAUCCCUUGCUAAGGAAAGCUUGAUCAUGCCCUUGAAAGGAACAGUGAACCCUGCUUUCUCUUUCUGGUUCCUGACUCAAGAGGUGACUGCUUGCUUUGACAUAUGCUUUUGCCAUGUGCCAUUCACCACAAAGUUCUUGACAGAUCUAAGCCAUGCCUUGAACUCUCCAAAAUUGGAGAAGCUCGGGGAUUGUCUGUGUGCUGACUGUAGGGAACCUGUUCAAGAGAUCAUGUCACAGACAGCCAAGUCCAGAGGAAAAAGCAUGAGACAGGUUGGUCAGGACUGCUCAGCCUACAGUGGCAUCGAACUCAUGGAGACCCUCCUGCCUCAGCCUCCUGUGUUCAACUCAUGGAGAUCCUCAUGCCUCAGCCCCCCCAAGUGCUGGGAUCAGAGCUGUGGACCACCAUGUCGAGCUCUAGUAUGAAUAGUAUCUAGAAGUUGUGAUUUUGGUUCACUCAUUGAACAUAUUUGUCAAGGGCACUGAAUCAUUUUUCUUUUGUCAAGAAACAUCAUCUAAAUAUCUCUUUUCUCUCUUUUCCCUUAACCUCGGGAGGGCAAUGGUUUUUGCAUAGACAGCGACGAUUUCAAUCUCAGGACAGUAUUUCAAUGUACACUUUAGGCUUUUUCUCUUUUUUUGUACUGGGAGUUAAAGCAGAGCCAUCUCUCUUGCCCCUUUUGAUUUUGAGGUAGGGUGUCUCCAGAACUCACUAGGUUGCCUGUGUUGAGCUCAAUCUUCUGACUUUCGUGCGUCAGCCUCCAGAGUG